CCUACGGGAGGCAGCAGUGGGGAAUUUUGGUACAAUGGGCGCAAGCCUGAUCCAGCAAUGCCGCGUGAGUGAAGAAGGCCUUCGGGUUGUAAAGCUCUUUUGUCAGGGAAGAAACGGUCUACUCUAAUACAGUGGGCUAAUGACGGUACCUGAAGAAUAAGCACCGGCUAACUACGUGCCAGCAGCCGCGGUAAUACGUAGGGUGCAAGCGUUAAUCGGAAUUACUGGGCGUAAAGCGUGCGCAGGCGGUUAUAUAAGUCAGAUGUGAAAUCCCCGGGCUCAACCUGGGAACUGCAUUUGAGACUGUAUGGCUAGAGUGUGUCAGAGGGGGGUAGAAUUCCACGUGUAGCAGUGAAAUGCGUAGAUAUGUGGAGGAAUACCGAUGGCGAAGGCAGCCCCCUGGGGAUAACACUGACGCUCAUGCACGAAAGCGUGGGGAGCAAACAGGAUUAGAUACCCUGGUAGUCCACGCCCUAAACGAUGUCUACUAGUUGUCGGUACUUAUUGUNUGUACGUCGNGCUACGCGNGAGUAGACGCCGUCGGAGGUACGGUCGCGAGAGUAAACGUUAACGUAAGUAGUAGUACGNGUAGAGAGACGACGACGACGACGACGGAGGGAGGAGG
rnacentral:rRNA from 1 species